rnacentral:rRNA from 1 species
GACGAACGCUGGCGGCGUGCUUAACACAUGCAAGUCGAACGGUGAACGAGGGAGCUUGCUCCCUCCGGAUCAGUGGCGAACGGGUGAGUAACACGUGAGCAAUCUGCCCCGAACUCUGGGAUAAGCGUUGGAAACGACGUCUAAUACCGGAUACGACGCGGGAGGGCAUCCUCUCCGCGUGGAAAGAACUUCGGUUCGGGAUGAGCUCGCGGCCUAUCAGCUUGUUGGUGAGGUAACGGCUCACCAAGGGUACGACGGGUAGCCGGCCUGAGAGGGUGACCGGCCACACUGGGACUGAGACACGGCCCAGACUCCUACGGGAGGCAGCAGUGGGGAAUAUUGCACAAUGGGCGCAAGCCUGAUGCAGCAACGCCGCGUGAGGGACGACGGCCUUCGGGUUGUAAACCUCUUUUAGCAGGGAAGAAGCGAAAGUGACGGUACCUGCAGAAAAAGCACCGGCUAACUACGUG